GCCUGCACCAGAUUCUGUCACGUGUCCUUUGUCUCAGGCAUCAAAGCGACAAUCAGGCGCGGCGCGGCACGACUCGCACAACUCGACUCUGUCGACCAGGCGUGGCUCCAUUAGGAAACGAAGCCCCGCUCGUUUGGAUCUCAUGGCUCUAGUACCUCAGCCCAGCCCGUGCGGCGCUGCCCUCCUCCCCACCACUUCUUCUCUAUACCUCGUGACUCCCCUGCUGUCAUGGUUUCCCCGACAUCAAUACCGGAUCCCCUCGACCGGUUGAUCCACACGGUCGAGCUCUAACACGUCGCCAAGGCGCUCCGCAAACGACACCAACACCGCCUGGCCGUCGAGGCGGCAAGCUACUCCCGCCUACAAGGAAUAUGGCAAGGGGCGUAAUAAACAAAACUUCAGAGAUGGUGGACAGGCAAGAUAGGAGCAGCGAACGCGAUGCACAACAAGGAAAGACUGCAGGUGUACAUAUGUUGCUUGGAACAUCUGGAAAGAAAGAUGUCGGAGAUAUUUCAGGGAAAAUCUCUCAUGGAGAAUCAACAGGACGUGGAAGCACUCAGGCAAGGGAGAUCAGAACUAGGGGCAUAACAAUGCAGUAGUAAUGACCUAUCCGGACUAGUAGUAGUAAACAUUCAGUUAUUGAUAGCUUUGAGUUUGCCUGGCACCAAGUCAGGCGGUCAAGCCUCAUGAUUUAAAUAGUUGUUGCUUUUUUCUAUAAUGCAAUGGUAGAACACCUGUCCAAAGUUCAGCAGCAUGUAUGUGUGAGUUUGUUUCAGCAGCAUGUAUGUCGUGUCCAGCCGCGGUGUUUAACACUUGUGAA